GACGAACGCUGGCGGCGCGCUUAACACAUGCAAGUCGAGCGAUGAAAUCUUAACAGAACCCUUCGGGGUGAAGAUAAGACGGAUUAGCGGCGGACGGGUGAGUAACACGUGAGUAACCUGCCUUUACACAGGGAUAGCCUCAGGCAACCGGGAUUAAAACCUGAUGCAACUAUCAAAUCACAUGAUUAAGAAAGUUAAAACUCCGGUGGUAAAAGAUGGACUCGCGUCCCAUUAGCUAGUUGGUGAAGUUAACGGCCCACCAAGGCAACGAUGGGUAGCCGGCCUGAGAGGGUGAACGGCCACAUUGGAACUGAGAAACGGUCCAAACUCCUACGGGAGGCAGCAGUGGGGAAUAUUGCACAAUGGGGGAAACCCUGAUGCAGCGACGCCGGGUGAGAGAAGAAGGCCUUCGGGUCAUAAAGCUCUUUUAUAUGGGAAGAUAAUGACGGUACCAGAAGAAAAAGCCCCGGCUAACUACGUG
rnacentral:rRNA from 1 species